UACGGAGGGGGCAAGCGUUGUUCGGAAUUACUGGGCGUAAAGGGCGCGUAGGUGGCCUUCUAAGUUGAACGUGAAAUCCCUGGGCUCAACCCAGGAACUGCGUCCAAGACUGGGAGGCUUGAAUCCGGGAGAGGGAUGCGGAAUUCCAGGUGUAGCGGUGAAAUGCGUAGAUAUCUGGAGGAACACCGGUGGCGAAGGCGGCAUCCUGGACCGGGAUUGACACUGAGGCGCGAAAGCCAGGGGAGCAAACGGG
rnacentral:rRNA from 1 species